GCCUACGGGAGGCAGCAGUGGGGAAUAUUGCACAAUGGGGGAAACCCUGAUGCAGCGACGCCGCGUGAGUGAAGAAGUAUUUCGGUUUGUAAGGCUCUAUCAGCAGGGAAGAAAAUGACGGUACCUGACUAAGAAGCCCCGGCUAACUACGUGCCAGCAGCCGCGGUAAUACGUAGGGGGCAAGCGUUAUCCGGAUUUACUGGGUGUAAAGGGAGCGUAGGCGGCAGGGCAAGCCUGAUGUGAAAGCCCGGGGCUCAACCCCGGGACUGCAUUGGGAACUGCCCCGCUCGAGUGCCGGAGGGGCG
rnacentral:rRNA from 1 species